UUAACUUCAGAUCAAACUGGGCCGUACGUUGCUCCUGGACUGAAAUUCAGUGUGCGUGUGUGCGUGUGUGUGUGUGUCCCCCUCAGGUGAAGCUAUGCUGGGACGAUCUGACGGCUGCUCACUGCGUCCAAUCAGCAGCCACUCAAAGCGCCUCCAGUCCCAUCCAGCUGGAUUUCCCUCAGGCUCAGGGAGCUCAGAUGGAUGCGUGUUUUCCUCCAGGAAGCCUUCCUACACGUCCAGAAUCUGAUAGUCCUGAUCCACAGCUGGACCCACUGCUUGAACCACCGCUUGAACCAGAGCUAAGACCACAGCUGGAACAACAGCUUGAAACACAGCUGGGACCACAGCUGGGACCACAACUAGGACAACAGCUGGGACCACAGCUGGAACAACAGCUGGGACCACAACGAGGACAACAGCUGGGACCACAACUAGGACAAGAGCUUGGACCACAGCUGGGCAUCGUUCUCUCCCAACAGGCCAAGAUGUUACUCCAGCAGAUGCAGACCUUUGGCGAUCUACUGAAGAGUAGAAAACUGAGUCUUGAAAAGCAAACAGAGGGUUUGUGUCACCUCAGUGAAACUUUGGACUCGUUGGUAAAAAGUUUCCUCCUGACGAAGAAGGAGUUACGCCGCCUGAAGAAGCAGCACAGAGCAGACCUGGGUUGUCUUGACCCCACACGGACAUUGAAGGCACAGAUCUACUACUCUGUGUAUCUCAUGAGGAAGCUGAAGAAGUAUCAGGAGCAGCUCUGUGAGACUCCGCCCCCCUCCUUCCCUGUUCAGCCCGUGUGCUCGUCCACUCCACGAACCCCCCCACAGGUACCAUCCUCCCCAACAUUUAUCAAUAUAGCACCAGAUAAAUUGGGGGGGGGGGUCACAGAAUCAACAUUCAUGUCAGCAUUUAGAAUAAUGAGCAAUCAGAGCAUUAACAG
rnacentral:lncRNA from 1 species